rnacentral:rRNA from 1 species
UGGGGAAUAUUGCACAAUGGACGAAAGUCUGAUGCAGCAAUGCCGCGUGUGUGAAGAAGGCCUUAGGGUUGUAAAGCACUUUCAGUAGGGAGGAAAAGUUCAAGAUUAAUACUCUUGGGCCCUGACGUUACCUACAGAAGAAGCACCGGCUAACUCCGUGCCAGCAGCCGCGGUAAUACGGAGGGUGCAAGCGUUAAUCGGAAUUACUGGGCGUAAAGCGCGCGUAGGCGGUUAAGUAAGUCAGAUGUGAAAGCCCCGGGCUCAACCUGGGAACUGCAUUUGAUACUGCUUAACUAGAGUGUGGUAGAGGAGAGUGGAAUUUCAGGUGUAGCGGUGAAAUGCGUAGAGAUCUGAAGGAACAUCAGUGGCGAAGGCGACUCUCUGGACCAACACUGACGCUGAGGUGCGAAAGCGUGGGUAGCAAACAGGAUUAGAUACCCUGGUAGUCCACGCCGUAAACGAUGUCAACUAACUGUUGGGCGGGUUUCCGCUUAGUGGUGCAGCUAACGCAAUAAGUUGACCGCCUGGGGAGUACGGCCGCAAGGCUA